rnacentral:rRNA from 1 species
GACGAACGCUGGCGGCGUGCUUAACACAUGCAAGUCGAACGGAAAGGCCCUGCUUUUGUGGGGUGCUCGAGUGGCGAACGGGUGAGUAACACGUGAGUAACCUGCCCUUGACUUUGGGAUAACUUCAGGAAACUUGGGCUAAUACCGGAUAGGAGCUCCUGCUGCAUGGUGGGGGUUGGAAAGUUUCGGCGGUUGGGGAUGGACUCGCGGCUUAUCAGCUUGUUGGUGGGGUAGUGGCUUACCAAGGCUUUGACGGGUAGCCGGCCUGAGAGGGUGACCGGCCACAUUGGGACUGGGAUACGGCCCAGACUCCUACGGGAGGCAGCAGUGGGGAAUAUUGCACAAUGGGCGGAAGCCUGAUGCAGCAACGCCGCGUGCGGGAUGACGGCCUUCGGGUUGUAAACCGCUUUCGCCUGUGACGAAGCGUGAGUGACGGUAAUGGGUAAAGAAGCACCGGCUAACUACGUG